AUUGAACGCUGGCGGCAUGCUUUACACAUGCAAGUCGAACGGCAGCACGAAAGAGCUUGCUCUUUUGGUGGCGAGUGGCGAACGGGUGAGUAAUGCAUUGGAACGUACCGAGUAAUGGGGGAUAACUGUCCGAAAGGAUGGCUAAUACCGCAUACGCUCUGAGGAGGAAAGCGGGGGACCUACGGGCCUCGCGUGAUUCGAGCGGCCAAUGUCUGAUUAGCUAGUUGGUGGGGUAAUAGCCUACCAAGGCGACGAUCAGUAGCGGGUCUGAGAGGAUGAUCCGCCACACUGGGACUGAGGCACGGCCCAGACUCCUACGGGAGGCAGCAGUGGGGAAUUUUGGACAAUGGGCGCAAGCCUGAUCCAGCCAUGCCGCGUGUAUGAAGAAGGCCUUCGGGUUGUAAAGUACUUUUGUCAGGGAAGAAAGAGCUUGGGUUAAUAGCCCAAGUUUAUGACGGUACCUGAAGAAUAAGCACCGGCUAACUACGUGCCAGCAGCCGCAGUAAAAC
rnacentral:rRNA from 1 species